GUGCUUGCUUCAGCAGCACAUAUGCUAAAAUUAGAAUGAUACAGAGCUCAGCAUGACCCCUGUGCAGGGAUCCACGAAAUCAAGAAGCAUGCUAUAUUUUU
ensembl:snRNA U6 U6 spliceosomal RNA